GACGAACGCUGGCGGCGUGCUUAACACAUGCAAGUCGAACGGAAAGGCCCUGCUUUUGUGGGGUGCUCGAGUGGCGAACGGGUGAGUAACACGUGAGUAACCUGCCCUUGACUUUGGGAUAACUUCAGGAAACUGGGGCUAAUACCGGAUAGGAGCUCCUGCUGCAUGGUGGGGGUUGGAAAGUUUCGGCGGUUGGGGAUGGACUCGCGGCUUAUCAGCUUGUUGGUGGGGUAGUGGCUUACCAAGGCUUUGACGGGUAGCCGGCCUGAGAGGGUGACCGGCCACAUUGGGACUGAGAUACGGCCCAGACUCCUACGGGAGGCAGCAGUGGGGAAUAUUGCACAAUGGGCGGAAGCCUGAUGCAGCAACGCCGCGUGCGGGAUGACGGCCUUCGGGUUGUAAACCGCCUUCGCCUGUGACGAAGCGUGAGUGACGGUAAUGGGUAAAGAAGCACCGGCUAACUACGUGCCAGCAGCCGCGGUGAUACGUAGGGUGCGAGCGUUGUCCGGAUUUAUUGGGCGUAAAGGGCUCGUAGGUGGUUGAUCGCGUCGGAAGUGUAAUCUUGGGGCUUAACCCUGAGCGUGCUUUCGAUACGGGUUGACUUGAGGAAGGUAGGGGAGAAUGGAAUUCCUGGUGGAGCGGUGGAAUGCGCAGAUAUCAGGAGGAACACCAGUGGCGAAGGCGGUUCUCUGGGCCUUUCCUGACGCUGAGGAGCGAAAGCGUGGGGAGCGAACAGGCCUAGAUACCCUGGUAGUCCACGCUGUAAACGGUGGGUACUAGGUGUGGGGUCCAUUCCACGGGUUCCGUGCCGUAGCUAACGCUUUAAGUACCCCGCCUGGGGAGUACGGCCGCAAGGCUAAAACUCAAAGGAAUUGACGGGGCCCCGCACAAGCGGCGGAGCAUGCGGAUUAAUUCGAUGCAACGCGUAGAACCUUACCUGGGUUUGACAUGGAUCGGGAGUGCUCAGAGAUGGGUGUGCCUCUUUUGGGGUCGGUUCACAGGUGGUGCAUGGCUGUCGUCAGCUCGUGUCGUGAGAUGUUGGGUUAAGUCCCGCAACGAGCGCAACCCUUGUUCACUGUUGCCAGCACGUUAUGGUGGGGACUCAGUGGAGACCGCCGGGGUCAACUCGGAGGAAGGUGGGGAUGACGUCAAGUCAUCAUGCCCCUUAUGUCCAGGGCUUCACGCAUGCUACAAUGGCUGGUACAGAGAGUGGCGAGCCUGUGAGGGUGAGCGAAUCUCGGAAAGCCGGUCUCAGUUCGGAUUGGGGUCUGCAACUCGACCUCAUGAAGUCGGAGUCGCUAGUAAUCGCAGAUCAGCAACGCUGCGGUGAAAACGUUCCCGGGGCU
rnacentral:rRNA from 1 species